GCUGAUCUCACUCGGGGCUCAGGGCUGAUCUCACUCGGGGCUGAUCUCACUCGGGGCUCAGGGCUCAGGGCUGAUCUCACUCGGGGCUGAUCUCACUCGGGGCUCAGGGCUGAUCUCGCUCAGGCCUGUUCUCACUCGGGGCUCAGGGCUGAUCUCGCUCAGGCCUGUUCUCACUCGGGGCUCAGGGCUGAUCUCACUCGGGGCUCAGGGCUGAUCCCACUCAGGGCUCACAUUUAGGUUCCUGUCCUGGGCAUUAAUGGGACCAGCGUGCCUCUGAGUGGGCUGGGAGGGGACAGGCUGAUGGCUCCACACAGGAGUCACAGGGUGUCUGUGCCAGCUGUCUUUGGUUUGCCGAGAAAUCCUAAAGGGAGGGAGCAGAUCUCCCCCUCUGGAUACUGACUGGAAUAAAGAUCCAGCUGUCCCUGCAGGCAGCUCGGGAGCUGGCAGAGCGGAGGAUGGGGGUGAUGAGUGUUCCUGGCUGGUGAGGGGGCUCCUGUGGCUGGAGCAGCACUGUGCUGUCCCCUCGCUGUCCUCACUGCUGCAGAGGGGUCAUUUCUGUGUCCCCGAGCUGGGCUGGGGCACUGCCUGGGAACGGGGGUCACUUUGGGCUGGGCUGGCGGUCACUGCUGCUCCUGGAGGGUUCCGAGUGCCCUGUGGGAGAGCUCAGGCCCUGCCGUGCCCCGGUUUGUGCAGGGAGGGAGCCGAGGUGCCUGUCACACUGCUCCAUCCCGGCAUGGCUCUGGGAUAACCGGAGAAACCCUGGGGGUAACUCUGGCAGUGGGGGUGAUGGUGGAGCCCAGGUCAGCCCCUGGGACUGAUGUGCACCCCUGAGCCCCCAGGCAGAGCCCCAGGGCCUGUCCUGGCCAAGGGCAGAGAGCUGGGGCGGGUGGCACUGCCCUCCCCAUCCCACACCUCGCAUUUCCAUCCUGCCGCUGACGGGAGCGCUCCCUCUGCCCUGAAAUGGGAAUGACUGAGAACUCAGCUCAUGAGAGGUGGCAAAUGUGCUGAUCUCCGCGUUUUUUAACAUGAGAAUUUUCUAAUAAGCAGGAGCCUUGGAGCCCUUCAUGAAUUAGGCAUCAGGAGCCCGAGCAAGCAGCGCUGAAGGUGCCCCGGCAAGGCCUUGCUCACACAGAGCUCCGAGAGCAGGAUUUGCUGACAAUCCCUUCCCCAGCAGCCGAGACCUCGGUGCCACUGCCUCGCCCUGCCUGUUUCCAGGUAGAUUAUGGACUUUCCUGGCUGCAGAGCAAAUCCCUGCCCGGCCCUGGGGCUCAGGGCAGGAGCAAAAAGAGGAGCCAGCCCGGCCCGGCCCGGCCCAGCGUGGGGUCCCUGUCCCACCACAUCCCCCUCGCUCCUGGCCAAACCCAGAGCCAGCUCUUCCCCGCCCUGCCAGUGCUGAUUCCUCUGCUCUCAGUGCUACUAAGGCAGAAUGGAGAAGUUUUAAUUCCUGGGUUUUAAAUUCCCUUUUUUUGCCAACAUUUCCCCGUUUCCCGGGAUCCUGUGUUGGAGCUGCAGCAGGAGAGGCUGUGGGUAGGUGGGUAGGUGGAUAGGUGGCUCAUUCCCACAGCCAGACCCCUCACUCUGCCCCAGCCCCAGGGAUUUGGGCGGGUGGGGGCACAUGGGAGAGGCUGUGGCAGUCUUUGGUGGCACCACAGCCCUGCCAGCCCCACAGCAAACUCUGCACUGCCAGGGCUGGGGCGCCAGGCUCAGCUUCAUCGUCUCCCCACUCCUCCUCACACAUGGCAGUUCAUGCAAGGAUUUUUAAAACUACUGAAGAUUCUUUUAAAAGAAAUGCUUCCUCACCUUCCCCCUUUUUUUUUCCUCCAAAGAAGCACCCCCUCCAUGGCAGCUGUGAAAUAUGGAUUAUUUACCUCCAGACUGGGCACGAGGCUGAUCCAGCCUUAGAAGUAAAUGCAUAUUUAGUCUUUAAGGCAUAUUUAUCUAUGUAAAUACAUAUUUUGGUAUACACAUUCUUCAUAACACAGUUCUGUGGGCCCUGUGGAGGUUUUGGUAGCAGAACAUUUGCCAUUGUCUAUUUUGAACACUUGCUCAGAAAAAUGUGCAAAAAAAGCAGCUGUCACUGGGAUGGGUUUAACACUCCUGGAUCUUAAAAACAGCAUCGACUCUAAAAAAAACCUAUUGAAAAGUUUAAAAAAAGCUGUCUGGCUCUGAAGGAUCCUGCCAAGAUACAAACCCCAGAGAAGCUGCAUUUGUUCCCGAACUGUGAGACAUGCCUCAGCUGAGUGUCAGCUCAGUCCCAGGGCCAGCAGCCGUGUGACAGCAGUGUCACCGCUCCCUCCCUCCAGGUGGGGACAGCCCUGAGUCCCCGCACCAGGAGCCCUCCCAGCCUGGGGGCUCCAACUUCCUGCUGGAAAUGCUCAGCUAAGCCUUUUCUCGCCGUGUUGGGAAUCCACAGUGUCAGCCUGGCGUGGCAGACGCAGGAGGGAAGCACAGAACAAACCUCCCAGCACUGCCCGAGGUGCCCCACAAAUGAGGGGCUGGAAGCAGCCCCAGCCCCCUCCCGUCCUGCAGUCCCUGGCAGUGGCUGUGCCCACCCUGCUGCCUGCUCUCACAGCCCCCAGCCUGGCCCAGCCCAGCCAGGUGUGUCCCCCUGACCCCUCACUGCAGCUCCAGCCCUGCCCAAGCCCUGCAGAGCCCCCCAGCUCCCUGCCCCUCGCAGCCCCAGCACUCUCCUGCCUCACACAAUCCCCCCUGGCACCCAGGCACUGCUCCCAGCUCUGCUGCUGCUGUGGGUUUGGGGUUUUCCUUUGGGGCUGGGCCAGCAGGGUGUCCCCCAAGUGAAGAUCAGAUGUGGGGCAGGACCUCUCGUCCGUGGCACCCAGUGGCUCUCCCUGGUGCCAAUGCAAACAUUCAACACUUCACUCUGCUUUUCAUGUUUAAUCGGGCUGCUGCUCGUUCUGUGCUGUUGCUGGACACUCAGGUUCCAAAUGUCAGGAAUCGCUGGAAUGCAGGGUUGGAUCCAGCCACAGCAUAGAACCUCUCCCAGUUUUACACACGUGGGUUGGGUUAUCCAUUGCCUCGUUUUUCCCUCUGUGAAACUGCACUGACACAAGACUUCCUGCAGCACCACUGUUUCUAGUGAAUGGAUUCUAAAAUAGAGCACUUUAAAGCUGCAAUACAAGAGAGAUUGGGAUAGCAGGGCUGAUAAACUCAUCUGAGGUGAGUUUGUACCCUUUCCUUGCAGAAUGGGUUUGUUCAUGUUAUUCCAGGUUUUAAAAAAUGCCACAUUUCUGAAAACAGCAACUGCUUGGCACAGGGCUGUAAAUAAUAAGAGAAAUAACAGAGUCUGUCCCUGACCACAUGCAGAGUGACCCAGGACGUUUUAUUGCCAUUUCUGGAGCAAACAGCUCUG